GCCUGAUGCAGCCAUGCCGCGUGAAUGAAGAAGGCCUUCGGAUCUGUAAAGCACUUUCGGCGGGGAGGAAGGGGGUGAGAGUAAUACCGCUUGUCCAUUGACGUUACCCGCAGAAGAAGCACCGGCUAACUCCGUG
rnacentral:rRNA from 1 species